UCAAAUAAAAAAAAUUACGAAAGAAUUUCUUUGUUGAAUUUUAUUUCAAAUCUGUCUCAUAUAAAUAUAUUCUCGUAUUUCACUCGUCAUGUAUUAUUCCAUGAGUCAUCAUCGACUUAAUGAAGAUCGAGGUCGUGGUCGCGAUGCUGAUGAAAUCCUGCUGUCUGCGGUCUCGGUUCCUGUGACAAAGCUGCUAAGUUCGCUUCGGCAGGGCACGCGGUCCUGAAAGUAGCUACGCGCGAAACACUUCCAUCCCGGUAUCAGCCCACAUUAGGUAAAAGUUAGGCGAUUGCGUCAUGAUUUCUCCACUGUUAAUCGAAAUCAUUAAGACUCGUAAACGGGUCAUAUCGUAUGUGUUUUGUUCUUUCGAGCCUCAGAUUUCAAACAGCUGAUGAGUCGAGACGCCAACUACGCAGUUGCAAGCUGAGGAGCGUCCAUACCCACCUACACAGUCCUAUUGUCAAAGAUGCUCUCAUUUACGUGUACUUCAGUCAUAACAUGUACAGGCCAAUUAAGUUGGCUAAUAUUGGUGAGUCAACUGCUAUUAAGAAAAUGUCAUUUGGCCCUACUAUGAUUAUAAUACUAUGUAUAAUUUUAAAUUGCUCAAUGUGAAGUAGAGGGCAAUGUUUUGCAAUAACGUUAAAUCCAAACAGGCACACUACUGUAUAAUGUGAAAACUGCAUUAGCUGAUGACUGUCAAAUGUGAGCAGUUCCAGAGUUAACGGUGUUGAAGUAGGAGGCUCUUCGGUCUGCAUUUAUAUUGAAACUACAUUAGGUAAACACGAAUAUUAUUUAUACUGCAAAUUCAUGAUAUAAUUGAAUGUAGUAUCAAAAUGAAAAGUAUAAGUAAGUAGGUCACUUACAAUAUUGUGAACAAAAACAUACUUUGAAAUUGUGGGCUGAUUCUCGCUGUGAAUACAACUAAAAUAUUAUUUAUAUGAAUAAUUGCGUAACAAAUAAACAUAAAAUAGUAAAGCACCGUAAAGAAAUUGAUUGAGUUGUCUAAAUGUGGAUCUCAUUUUGUAUUGCUAUGGUCCGGUUGUCUUGACGUUGACGUUAUAUGAGUGCAAAUAAUUUAAAAAAAAAAGGGAACCUUGCAGCAGGCUAGCACCCAGGUAUAUCUUAACAACUGCAAGCUGGUACCCAACACGAACUUUUUACUUCGAAUUUACAUUAUCCUGAAUAGGUUACUACUUAUACAAGAAUAAAGUAUAUCAGACCGAAUUAUUUACUACAAUGCGACAAAUCUGAUCCUGAUUGAUGCAAGACUUGUAGGUAAGUGGUCUUCUCCACACUACGGGCAUGCUGAUUUUGAUCACUACAAAUACUACUGAAUUGAAUUGUUAUAUUUUGAACCAUGUUUAAUGCAAAAUGAGAUAAUAAGUUUUAUUAAGUUGGACCUGAUCGCCAUGUAGCUGGCUUUUAGAUUUAAGUAUUCUUAAAGACUAAAUAAAAUAUAAACUUUUUAGAAAUAUAA